GUUUACAAUCGAUAAGAUGUUGGUGAGUGCUUUCGACUGCGUUCAAUGUUGCUUUUCAUUUGCAGAAUCUAAAGUUCACAGUUAAAAUCAUGCAGUUCAGGAUCACCGACUGAAGAGUAUAGGAUACUGGAAACUUUUCAUGUAUUAUAUGAAGGAACGAAAUAUCGUAGUUUCAACGCUGGGAUUCGAACCACUGUUCAAUCGAUCAUAAGAUUGAACGUUCAGCCCUUUCAGCCUCAGUAUGUGCCCAGUUUCAUGGAACAAAAUGGUUUUAUAAGGUGGAUCAAUGUCGCUGCCAACUACACAAAAUGGUCAGAUAGAGAAGUAGAGUUAAAUUACAUCAUCCAUGUUAAAUUAUACCAUACGCUGCCGGAUUCGAACUGGAAUCAUCUUAGAACAAGGUCAACACCGAGGUCGUGUUUCGUCACAAAUCACGUGAUUUCAUGACGAAAUGAUUCUCAAAAUUAACGAAGUACACAUCAAGGAUUGCUAAAUUACUAAAAGUGAGAGUUUCAUAUUUGAGAGCUCAA